UGCAGGAAAGCUCAGUCAGUAGAGCACGAGACUCUUAAUGUCAAAGUUGUGGGUUCAAGCCCCACACUAGGCAA